CAUACAUGUAGACAGCAAAUUAAACA
rnacentral:piRNA from 1 species